GGCCGCGAUCCGCUGCGCUCUUCGGGAGCCCCUCCUUUAGGGCCAUCGUUUACGUGGCCGUCAGAUGGUCGGUUUGUUCAGAAAACCGUCCGUUCUGGCCGCGAGCAGAGUCCUGACAGAUACUGGGAGAGAAACGUGUGAGGAGAGUUUGCAAGAGUGCUGUAAGUGGUGUACGGAACGCUGCACAGAAGAAUGCUUUCCUCCUUCCCAAAAACGCCUUGGGAAAAGUAAUUGCUCAAGUAAUUGGUAAUUGCUACCAGAUCUAACCGUGCCAUUUGAAGAUUUUGCCACUUUCCAUCUUUGAUGCUGUGAUUGCUGCUGCCAUGGCUGCUGAUUAAAGGGUUUGUUUAAGAGCUCUUUAACUUGCUCCAGGCAAAAUGAACAGGCUGAUGUUCCUGUGUUACAGCUCUGCUAUAGCACUGUGCCCUCCCUCAGACCUCCCUGGCUGAUGUAUUACAGAAGAUGUGGUGUGACCAGCUUGCCACGCCUGUGGCAAAGAACAGGAUAUCUUUACUUGAAGCGACAAGCCCUUUCAAGUUAGUGGAGCAAUGGGAAUUGAAAGUUUAGUAUUGAGAUGACUGGAAACAAAGAUUCUCUAUCAUUGCAUUAACGCGAUUCUCUACCCUGAAGUUUCCUGAUUAAAAGCUUUGCAAUUUGUGCUCUGUUCUUUUCCAGGAUGUACCUUUAAAAAGUCAAAUGCAGCUUCUGGAAUCUUUGAGAGUAGGAGAGUAACAGCUGCUGAGAAAUACAAAUAACUUGGCUAACUAGUGUAAUCAUCAAUAGAACUGCAGCAGAAUUUGCAUCUAUUGCUGAAAUCUGAUUCUCAGUGAUGAAUAGCAGUGGUUAGCGUUGGUUUUAUGUAGGAAAUGUUGAAAUGCCAGCUUUUGAGGGGAAGAUAAAGCAGGGUGAAAGUGGAUACUGACACUUCCUAAUUUCCUGGUGGAGUAGGGUUCUGAAUUUAACUUGAUGUAUAAAAACAUCUCCCUUGACAAGUUUUACAUAAGCCUAUAACUUGGCUUUUCCCAGGUAUUAUUAAAUGCCCCAUCUGAAACUGAUCUGACUAUGAGGUAAGGCAUUUCAGUUGAUAUUUCUAUAACAUUUUGAGUAAUAGCUCAGUAAGUAUGCUAGCAACUUGCCUCUUGUCCAGUCUGUCAUAAAUAAUACAGUUUGUAUCAAAGCCAAUGUUUUAAAUCUACAACAGACAUAGAAGUCACAAACAAAUGUUCAUGUGGGAAAACAAAAAUGCGAGAUGAAUUCUGCUCAUAUGAACAAUCUGAGUCUCAAACAUAUUAAUCCUUGUUUUCUGAACAACUGUUAGCUCUGAAAGCAAGAAGCUAUCAAACUGAGUUGUGAUGGAAGGUACACUGAACAGCUGUGACUAAAAGAAGUACAACAUUCUCCUGUUUCUAGAGAAGUAUGUCUGAAGAAAUCCUAUUUCAAUGUUACUAAAGUGCCUGUUGCAGAAUUAUUUUUUGUGGUUUUGUUUUGUUUUUCUGAGAUUAUUGGCUAAAAUGUUGCCAAUUUCUUGGCUGUGUUUCUCAAUUAAGAAAUGCACUCAAUUAAUUUUCCUUUUCUUUUGAAUGAAUGAAUGAAUUCUUGACAGUGCAAUGCUUUGAAAGCAGAACUACCAAAUGUGAACUACAGUGACCCAUGACUGCUCCUAAAGGUCUAAUCGAAAUUAUGUUUGGCAUAACUAAUCUGUAAAUGACACUCGAGUGUAACGGGAUUUUACACGGUGGAAAUUUUGCUUCAGACCUUUGGAAAAGAAUCAUUGCUGAAUGGUUCUGCAUAUUUAUUUUAAUUCUGGUUUACUCUCAUCUUUAAAAAAGAAAAAAGUCAUAUUGUCAAGUUAUGGAGGAAAUUGAAAUCAUAUAACGUUCGCUACUCUCACUCCCUCACCUACUAGCAAAGGUGGUUUCACACUUAUUUCCAGAAGGCUUUUGGCCAGUACGUGCUACCCAAAGAACACAGAUGCAGACUCACUCCUUUGAACUGAGACUAAACGCAGCUGCUGUCUGUGCUGGAAGCAGUCACAAGAAUGUUCUAGUAUUACAUGGCCUGGAGUGCGUAUUACACCAGAUGAUGCUAAUGGGGAGAAUUACAGAUCCUUUAGCUUCUCCCUGCUUCCCUUCCCCUCCAAAUAUGUUCAUCUCUGGAAAUCGCUGCUACAACUUCUACUAUUUGUAGUAUUACAUUCAUACUGUGGACUACCAUCAAGUUCAGGAGAAAUAAAACUGCAAAUUUGAGUGUGCUGUUCCAAUUAAGCAUUCAGUGGCAUGAAGCGUAGGCAGAAUGCACCAUCAAAGCCUGCUUUCAGAGAUCAUUUAUCAUCGAGAACACGUUCUCUUUAGUAUCCUGUGUGCCUGAUUUAAUACCUUACAAGUUUAGGGCUGCUAAAUGCAGGAACGGAGCAGCCUCCUCUGCUGCAUCAUGUAGGACUGCAGUGAGAACAGAGAUGGGAGGAGUCUGCAAAGCAUGGCAGACUGAGAGCCUUGUGCCCAGGGACUGGCAAGGGCAGGCAAGCUCUCUCACAUCUCGUAACAUACACUAGUUAAUGCUAGUGAGCUUGGGCGUUUUCUCCAGAAAUCCCAUUAAAUGCUAACUUAGAGCAGACGCUAGCUGAGGCAUGGUUCAGUAAGCAGUGAUGUGUGUUAGGCUGCCUCCUCCACAAAAAGAAUGUUUCCUUGAUCACAUCCUGCUCAGAGAUGUGUGGAAAGGGGUUGUCCUAUACGGCAGGAACUCAGGAGCUCAACUGGAAGGAAAAUCUCUUCCCCUAUCCUUUCAAAAUGCCCUCAGUGAUGUUGGUGAAGUAUUUUUUAUCUGUGGUAUUCAGCUUAUGCUCUGCACUAAGCUCAUGUGGCCUGCAGUGUCACGGACAGAAUGCCACAUUUCUUCACAGUAUUACAGUUUUGGCCACUAAACCAAACCACACUUGGUUGAGCUUCUUUUACAUUACACCAUGGCUGGAAAAUCUUCCCUGCAUAAUGCUAUCAGAUUCAUUGCCAUAGCAUUUCCUGUAACUAACACAGUGAUCUGAGGUAGGGUGUGCUUUCCUUGAGCUGGUUGCGGACCUGUGUGUCUUACCUCUGUAAUUCUUUGUCUUCGUUACUCCUGCUUCACGUUCUGGCAUCUGGGACACUCCUUAGCUGUGACUGGUUUCUGGUUUUCAUCUUGCUCACACCUUUGGCUGCUGAAUGGCGCUGGAGAAAGUCCAGACUUCUCUCUAGUGCCUAAUUCUUCAAAUUAAACCCAUCUUUGCAGGUUUUGCUUUAGCUUUUAUUUUCAGCCAAUGACAGUGAUACCAGCCUCGCCUAACUGUGAUACUUAUCUUUGCAAUUUUUUUUUCUAACUUUAAGUCUUUUCCAGGGUAUUUUGUUUUACUCUCUUGAUGCAUAGAUGCAUUUUGCUGCAUUUUUAACUGUUACUUCACUGCCACAUCUCUUCUCCUGUUUAUGGCCUAUGCCAUAGAAUUUAUCCUUUGUAUUUCACUGUGUUUUCCUGCCACUGUGUGAAUAAAGCAGUCAAAAAACA